rnacentral:rRNA from 1 species
AAACAUGGCUCUUUGAUGCUUACAUAUAAAGAGUCGGGCCUGCCCGGUGAUAAGAUAUUUAUUUAACGGCCGCAGUAUUUUGACUGUGCAAAGGUAGCAUAAUCAUUUGCCCUAUAAUUGAGGGCUAGUAUGAAUGGUCUGACAAGAACAAAGCUGUCUCUAAGAAUUUCUAUUGAAAUUAAUAAUCAGGUGAAGAAGCCUGAAUUUGACUGAAAGACGAGAAGACCCUAUCGAGCUUGAAAAGUUGUUAUAGGUAUACUGAUGUGCUUUUUUGGUUGGGGCGACCGAGGAACAGUUAAAGCUUCCUUAAAUUUAUAAACAAGUUAGUAUUGAUCCAGUAAAAUUGAUUAAAAAAAUAAGUUACCGUAGGGAUAACAGCGUAAUCUUCUUUGAGAGUUCACAUUAAAAAGAGACUUUGCGACCUCGAUGUUGGACUAAAGUAUCCUAAAGAUGUAGAAGUCUUUAAGGGUUGGUCUGUUCGACCAUUAAAACUUUA